UACGUAGGGGGCAAGCGUUGUCCGGAAUUAUUGGGCGUAAAGAGCGUGUAGGCGGCCAGAUAAGUCCGCUGUGAAAUCUCGAGGCUCAACUUCGAGCUGUCGGUGGAAACCCCUUGGCUAGAGUCCGGAAGAGGAGAGUGGAAUUCCUGGUGUAGCGGUGAAAUGCGCAGAUAUCAGGAAGAACACCAAUGGCGAAGGCAGCUCUCUGGGACGGUACUGACACUGAGACGCGAAAGCGUGGGGAGCGAACAGG
rnacentral:rRNA from 1 species